UUGAGAGUUUGAUCCUGGCUCAGAACGAACGCUGGCGGCAGGCCUAACACAUGCAAGUCGAGCGCGCCUUCGGGUGAGCGGCGGACGGGUUAGUAACGCGUGGGAACGUGCCCUUCUCUACGGAAUAGCCUCUGGAAACGGAGAGUAAUACCGUAUACGCCCUUUGGGGGAAAGAUUUAUCGGAGAAGGAUCGGCCCGCGUUAGAUUAGGUAGUUGGUGGGGUAACGGCCUACCAAGCCUACGAUCUAUAGCUGGUUUUAGAGGAUGAUCAGCAACACUGGGACUGAGACACGGCCCAGACUCCUACUGGAGGCAGCAGUGGGGAAUAUUGCGCAAUGG
rnacentral:rRNA from 1 species